rnacentral:lncRNA from 1 species
CAAAAUAGCACAUUUCUAAGUUUAUAUCACAAAAAUAGCAAUCAAAAACUAAAAUGACCAAAAUAGCACAUUUCUAAGUUUAUCCUUUGAAAAUUUUAAUUUUUUUAUUUUUCAAAAUUUGAAAUCUUAUCCCCAAAACCUCAUUUCUCAACUCUAAACCCUAAACCAUAAACCCUAAAACCUAAACUCUAAAUCUUAAACCCUAAACUCUAAACCUUAAACCCUAAACCCUAAACCCUAAAAUCUAAACCGUAAACUCUAAACCCUAAAUCCUAAACCCUAAACCCUAAAUCCUAAACCCCACCCUUUAACUC